rnacentral:tRNA from 3 species
GCCCUGGUGGUGGAAUUGGUAGACGCGCAGGACUUAAAAUCCUGUAUGCAGCAAUGCGUGUGCGGGUUCAAGUCCCGCCCGGGGCA